GACGAACGCUGGCGGCGUGCCUAAUACAUGCAAGUAGAACGCUGAAGAGAGGAGCUUGCUCUUCUUGGAUGAGUUGCGAACGGGUGAGUAACGCGUAGGUAACCUGCCUGGUAGCGGGGGAUAACUAUUGGAAACGAUAGCUAAUACCGCAUGAUAUUAAUUGUCGCAUGAUAAUUAAUUGAAAGAUGCAAUUGCAUCACUACCAGAUGGACCUGCGUUGUAUUAGCUAGUUGGUGAGGUAACGGCUCACCAAGGCGACGAUACAUAGCCGACCUGAGAGGGUGAUCGGCCACACUGGGACUGAGACACGGCCCAGACUCCUACGGGAGGCAGCAGUAGGGAAUCUUCGGCAAUGGGGGGAACCCUGACCGAGCAACGCCGCGUGAGUGAAGAAGGUUUUCGGAUCGUAAAGCUCUGUUGUAAGAGAAGAACGGGU
rnacentral:rRNA from 1 species